GGAGCUCUCCCAUAUGGUCGACCUGCAGGCGGCCGCGAAUUCACUAGUGAUUGUUUGAUCCUGGCUCAGAUUGAACGCUGGCGGCAGGCUUAACACAUGCAAGUCGAACGGUAACAGAGAAUAGCUUGCUAUUCUGCUGACGAGUGGCGGACGGGUGAGUAAUGCUUGGGAAUUUGCCGAAAGGUGGGGGACAACAGUUGGAAACGACUGCUAAUACCGCAUAAUGUCUACGGACCAAAGGUGGCCUCUAUUUAUAUGCUAUCGCCUUUCGAUGAGCCCAAGUGGGAUUAGCUAGUUGGUAAGGUAAUGGCUUACCAAGGCGACGAUCCCUAGCUGGUCUUAGAGGAUGACCAGCCACACUGGAACUGAGACACGGUCCAGACUCCUACGGGAGGCAGCAGUGGGGAAUAUUGCACAAUGGGGGAAACCCUGAUGCAGCCAUGCCGCGUGUGUGAAGAAGGCUUUCGGGUUGUAAAGCACUUUCAGCGAGGAGGAAAGGGUGAUGGCUAAUAUCCAUUAUCUGUGACGUUACUCGCAGAAGAAGCACCGGCUAACUCCGUGCCAGCAGCCGCGGUAAUACGGAGGGUGCAAGCGUUAAUCGGAAUUACUGGGCGUAAAGCGCGCGUAGGUGGUUAAUUAAGUCAGAUGUGAAAGCCCAGGGCUCAACCUUGGAACUGCAUUUGAAACUGGUUGACUAGAGUUUUGUAGAGGGUGGUAGAAUUUCAGGUGUAGCGGUGAAAUGCGUAGAGAUCUGAAGGAAUACCAGUGGCGAAGGCGGCCACCUGGACAAAGACUGACACUGAGGCGCGAAGGCGUGGGGAGCAAACGGGAUUAGAUACCCCGGUAGUCCACGCAGUAAACGAUGUCUAUUAGAAGUUUGUGGCUAUAUGCCGUGGGUUUCAAAGCUAACGCAUUAAAUAGACCGCCUGGGGAGUA
rnacentral:rRNA from 1 species